GCCUUGGUGGUGUAACAGUAGCAAACUCGACCUGCAUUCGAGAGGUCAAGGUUCGAACCCCGGCGAGGGCA
rnacentral:tRNA from 1 species